CACAUUCUGUGACCUGGUGGCGGAAGGGUUGGUUUGGCCUUUGGCCUCCUGGAGUCCAGUGACUUGGAGGGGUUUCAUUUUCUCACUGACAACCAGCCAGAGACACAUGGGCUUGCAUGUCAGAGCCAAACAGAGCUGCAGAGCUCUCCUCGGCCUCUCAUGAGUCUCCUGGGCCACAUUCUCUGAAAGAAGUCUCCUGCCUGAUUUGGUAGGUCCCAGUUUAGCCUCCUUGAAGUUCCUGGACAAUGCACAGGUCUUGGCAGCCUCUCGCAAGCAGCCUUUGUUCAGGGACUGUGGACUCUCCAGCCGGAAGGGCUGUUGAUGAACUGAUUUGAAUUUCAAUUUUUGUCCUGUCCUAUACUCAUUCUGGGAUAAAAUGGACAAGAAGUCAAGAUCCAAUGGAGCAAGAUUAUAGGUGAGCAAACUGACCUUUUUAAUGGGUCUGUGACUUGAAUCCAGGUCUGUCUGACUCUAAUCUGGCAAGAGUGAUUAUAAUAAUAGUUAAUCACUAUUGAGCUACCUACUUUCUUAUCUGCUUGGGAAUCUCUUUUCUUCAUGAAUCAACUCAAGCAUGACUACCCUGAUACUUUCCCUGUAAACCUCUGCAUGGGGUGCUCUAUAUGUGCUCUAAUUAGAAUAUUUAUCUCACCAUAUUGCAAUUGUCUAAAAACACCCAUUUGGAGCACAGUGGAUUGUGAACUUGAUGAAGAAAUGGACUGAAUAUAUCUACUGCCUUCUAAAGAUGAACUCCAGGUGGCCCUUCUUUGUGUAACCAACAAUUGAAUUCAAAAUCUCAUGUGGGAUCAUCAGAUGAACAGAGUCUGGAUUAAACGGCUGUGCCCUAGCUGAAAGAGAGGCUGGAAAAGUGAAUUCCUGAUAUCAAUUUUGUGAUAAGGGACUAAUAACGUGGGGAGUCUCCUGUCAUAGGUGUGGAUGUUCAGAUGAGGUAAACAUCCAAAAAAGAAAUACAGAGAAGGCAGAGCUGUUAAAUUAUUUCCCGAAGCAGCUCUGAGUAAAAAUUAGACACUGGUUUGAGUGUGGGUUAUGGAAAAAGGAAGAAUGGGAGAAAUGAUAAAGGAAUUAGCAUCAUUAAAAUGAUGCAGGUGAGCCACACUCUGUGGGGGCAGCAGGUGGCAGAAUUUACCAUCUUGAGCUCAAUAUGGGCAUCAGUGGUGGGACAUCAGUGAUCUUAAGGGUAUAUGAACAUAUUUAAAAAUAUUUUAAUAGUUAUUUUAAUGGAUAACAGCAAAAUAAUUAGCACAUCAAACUUGUGAAUUCACAGUGUUAUUGCUUAGGAGAAGGUUAAGGUUAAGUUCAGUUUAAAAAGAGUUAUUCAAUAUUAAAAUGAUGAAAUAAAUAAUACAGCAGGUGGCAUAUAGCUAUGGCAUGAUUUCUGAAGGUAGCAUGGGAAUGGCUGAAGUUUGGGGAAGUUUAUACAUGGACACAGGAGGCCAGAGCUUCACUCAUCACCUAUGUGUGUUUUAUCUCACUGGGCCUCGUUUUUUUUUGGGUUAUCUAUCUAUCUAUAUUAUUUAUUUGUUUAUUUAUAAUUCAACUUUUAAGUUCAGGGGUAUAUAUGCAGGUUUAUUAUAUAGGUAAACUCAUGUCACGGGGCUUUGUUGUACAGAUUUUUUCGUCUCCCAGGUAUUAAGCCUAGUACCCAUUCAUUUUUUUUCCUGAUCCUCUCCCUCCUCCCACCCUUCACCCUCUGUUAGGCCUCUGUGUGUGUUGUUCCCCUCUGUGUCCAUGUGUUCUCACCAUUUAGCUCCCACUUAUAAGUGAGAACAGGUGGUAUUUGGUUUUUCAGUUCCUGCAUUAGUUUACUAAAGAUAAUGGCUUCCAGCUCCAUUUGUUUUCCUGCAAAUGACAUGAUCUUGUUCCUUCUUAUGUCUGCAUAGUAUUCUAUGGUGUAUAUGUACCAGAUUUUCUUUAUCCAGUCUACCAUUGAUGGUCAUUUAGGUUGAUUCCAUGUCUUCACUAUUAUGAGUAGUGCUGCAAUGAAAGUAUGCCUGCAUGUGGCUUUAUGAUAGAAUGAUUUAUAUUCCUUUGGGAAUAUACCCAGUAAUGCGACUGUUAGGUGGAAUGGUAUUUCUGUGUUUAGGUCUUUGGAGAAUUGCCAUACUGUCUUCCACAAUGGUUGAACUAAUUUACACUCCCACCAACAGUAUAAAAACGUUCCUUUUCUGUGCAACCUUGCCAGCAUCUGUUAUUUUUUGACUUUUUAGUGAUGGCCACUGUGACUGGUGUGAGAUGGUAUCUCAUUGUGGUUUUGAUUUGCAUUUCUGUAAUGAUCAGUGAUGUUGAGCUUGUUUUCAUAUGAUUGUUAGCCACAUGUAUGUCUUCUUUUGAAAAGUGUCUACUCAUGUCCUUUGACUGGUUCUCAAUUUUAUACUUUAUGUUUUAUAAUCUAUCUGGGCCUCAAUUUUAUACUUUAUGUUUUAUCUCACUCAGCCUCAAUUUUAUACUUUCAAGGGGGUCAGCACUAUCUUGGCUUCCUGAAGGUAGGGUCAAGACUAGACUAGACUUAGAGUGUCCAAGUGACACUUACUUGGUUUGCCAAGACUAGUUGUGAAUUCUUAGGAAUUUGAUCUAUUUAUUCUCGUUAUUCAGCCAAGCCUGCAAAAUGUCAGAGCUCUGAGUUAUCACUCUUUAAAUGCGAGACUUCACCUGAGUGGCCUUUGGGGAAAGUGGGUCAUCAUGGGUGGGUGUGUUUCUCCAUUUGAUAAGUGAUUUAAGCUCAAAUUUUUAUUUGCACUAGACAUGGGUCCGUUCCCUGGCUCAAUGUGGCCUCUUACAGCUUUUCCAUUCACACAUCCUCCUGCUGGGUUACUGGCCACUGUCUUUCCCACUGUGAAUUACUGAAAAGUAUGCAUUCUCUUCUCAGUGUCUAGCUGCCAGUCUGGUUCACUGUAGGUCCCUGGUGAACGUAAAAAUAAAACCCUUGAAAGUGGACAUUAUUCUAUCAUGUCAAUUUAGCUCUCGGGAAAUUGUAUGGACUUUAAAAAUGUCUCUCCCAAGAAUCAUUUAGUUACUUAUUCCUUAGGAACCACUGUGGUUCAGCAAGACCUGGUGCUUCAGGAAGCAAGGUUAGAAAGAAAGGGGGCUGGGAAGAGCAGCAUGGGAUGGGUGCUGUGGAGCAUGUUGUCAUUGUUAAGAUGUUGGAGCAGCUUUGGCAUGGGGAGAAUAUGGCUGAAAAUGAAGUCGUAGCAAUGAGGACAACCUGGACUCACUGCUCUGAGUACUUGUGCAAUGGUAGCUGGAGCUGUCUCUUACUGGGAUUUGUAUAUAAGAGAAACAUGGAUAGUUACCUUGAAUGUAGAAUCUACUUAGAGAUUAUUCUUAAAUAUAGCUUAGAUUGCAU
rnacentral:lncRNA from 1 species